rnacentral:rRNA from 1 species
AAUUUUGCGCAAUGGGGGAAACCCUGACGCAGCAACGCCGCGUGGGUGAAGAAGGCCUUCGGGUUGUAAAGCCCUUUUGGCAGGGAAGGAACCAAUGACGGUACCUGCAGAAGAAGCACCGGCUAACUCUGUGCCAGCAGCCGCGGUAAUACAGAGGGUGCAAACGUUGCUCGGAAUCAUUGGGCGUAAAGCGCACGUAGGCGGUCCGAUAAGCGGGGAGUGAAAGCCCUCGGCUUAACCGAGGAAGUGCUUUCCGAACUGUCGGACUUGAGUACGCAAGAGGAUCGCGGAAUUCCCGGUGUAGAGGUGAAAUUCGUAGAUAUCGGGAGGAACACCAGCGGCGAAGGCGGCGAUCUGGGGCGAUACUGACGCUGAGGUGCGAAAGCGUGGGGAGCAAAC